rnacentral:rRNA from 1 species
AUGCUGCAGAAAAUGGCAAUAGAUGCAAAUGCUUGUCCUGGAUUUCAACUCCAGGAUGGCCUGAUCAAACAUGAGGAAAAAAUCUGGGUGGGAGCCAAUUCUGGACUCCAAACCAAACUGAUUCAAGCUUUCCACUCAACUCCUGUUGGGGGACACUCUGGCAUGUUGCCCACAUACCACAAAGUCAAGCAGCUGUUCAGUUGGACUGGAUUAAAGAAGGAUGUGGAGAACUUUGUUAAACAGUGCAGCAUCUGUCAGCAAGCUAAGCAUGAGCUCUGUAGAGUACCAGGUCUACUGCAACCUCUGCCAAUUCCAGAUGGUCCUUGGCAGGCAAUCAACAUGGACUUUAUUGAGGGUUUGCCUAAAUCAGAAGGAUAUAAUGCCAUACUGGUCGUGGUCGAUCGUUUCACCAAAGUAAGCCACUUCCUGCCCCUGAAACAUCCUUUUACAGCAGCCUCAGUGGCUAAGGUUUUCCUCAACACGAUUGUCAAGCUACACGGUCUGCCAUUGUCUAUUGUGUCUGAUCGUGACAAGAUAUUCACGAGUUCUUUCUGGAAAGAGUUAUUCAGAAUUUGGGGCACCGAGCUGCAGAUGAGCACAACAUAUCAUCCGCAGACGGAUGGGCAAACCGAGCGGGUAAACCAAUGCUUGGAAAUGUAUCUGCGCUGUGUUGUGCAUGAUUCGCCGCACAAGUGGGAUGCUUGGUUACCGCAAGCGGAGUUCUGGUACAACACAACGUAUCACUCCUCGCUCGGCUGUACUCCUUACAAAGCACUGUACGGCCAUGAGGCCAACGUGGGCCAGUUACAAGGGCAGGCCAAGUCCUUGCAUCCAGAUGUACAGGAAUGGCUCUCAACGCACACUCAACAUACUGCAACACUGAAGGAACAUCUGGCCAGAGCACAGUGCAAGUACAAACAGUAUGCAGACAGAAAACGAACUGAUCGCCAGUUCUCUGAAGGAGAGAUGGUAUAUCUCAGACUGCAACCGUACACACAAUCAUCAGUGGUCAAUCGGCCGUGCCCUAAGCUUGCAAUGAAGUUCUUUGGACCAUUCAAGAUUUUGGCUAAGGUGGGCAAUGCUGCAUAUCGUCUGGAACUUCCUCGUGGCAGUCUGGUUCAUCCAGUAUUCCAUGUCUCCCAACUAAAGGAACACAUCCCUGAUCACACUCCGGUAUUCACUACCCUGCCGGAACCGCUGGAUCUAUCUGAACCGGGGCUGAUGCCUGAAGAAAUCAUGGAGCGCAAACUGGUUAAGAAGGGCAAUGCAGCACAUCAGCAAGUUCUGGUGAAAUGGACAUCAGUUCCAGCAUCGGCAGCUACAUGGGAAGAUUACGAGGUGCUGCGCGCGCGUUACCCCAACGCACCAGCAUGGGGACAGGCUGGUUCUCCUGGGGCGGGUACUGUCAGUACUAGCGCACUGACGAUGAGCGUCAACAGAGCGGGAAGACGUAAACAGGCAAAGAAGGACACGUAA